GACGAAGGAUGCAAGCGUUAUCCGGAUUCAUUGGGUUUAAAGGGUGCGUAGGCGGAACGAUAAGUCAGUGGUGAAAGCCUGCAGCUUAACUGCAGAACUGCCAUUGAUACUGUCGAUCUUGAGUAUAUUUGAUGUGGGCGGUAUGUGUCAUGUAGCGGUGAAAUGCUUAGAUAUGACACAGAACACCGAUUGCGAAGGCAGCUCACAAAACUAUAACUGACGCUGAGGCACGAAAGCGUGGGGAGCAAACAGG
rnacentral:rRNA from 1 species